rnacentral:rRNA from 1 species
CUGCGGGUGCCUAUACAUGCAAGUCGAACGAACUCUGGUAUUGAUUGGUGCUUGCAUCAUGAUUUACAUUUGAGUGAGUGGCGAACUGGUGAGUAACACGUGGGAAACCUGCCCAGAAGCGGGGGAUAACACCUGGAAACAGAUGCUAAUACCGCAUAACAACUUGGACCGCAUGGUCCGAGUUUGAAAGAUGGCUUCGGCUAUCACUUUUGGAUGGUCCCGCGGCGUAUUAGCUAGAUGGUGAGGUAACGGCUCACCAUGGCAAUGAUACGUAGCCGACCUGAGAGGGUAAUCGGCCACAUUGGGACUGAGACACGGCCCAAACUCCUACGGGAGGCAGCAGUAGGGAAUCUUCCACAAUGGACGAAAGUCUGAUGGAGCAACGCCGCGUGAGUGAAGAAGGGUUUCGGCUCGUAAAACUCUGUUGUUAAAGAAGAACAUAUCUGAGAGUAACUGUUCAGGUAUUGACGGUAUUUAACCAGAAAGCCACGGCUAACUACGUGCCAGCAGCCGCGGUAAUACGUAGGUGGCAAGCGUUGUCCGGAUUUAUUGGGCGUAAAGCGAGCGCAGGCGGUUUUUUAAGUCUGAUGUGAAAGCCUUCGGCUCAACCGAAGAAGUGCAUCGGAAACUGGGAAACUUGAGUGCAGAAGAGGACAGUGGAACUCCAUGUGUAGCGGUGAAAUGCGUAGAUAUAUGGAAGAACACCAGUGGCGAAGGCGGCUGUCUGGUCUGUAACUGACGCUGAGGCUCGAAAGUAUGGGUAGCAAACAGGAUUAGAUACCCUGGUAGUCCAUACCGUAAACGAUGAAUGCUAAGUGUUGGAGGGUUUCCGCCCUUCAGUGCUGCAGCUAACGCAUUAAGCAUUCCGCCUGGGGAGUACGGCCGCAAGGCUGAAACUCAAAGGAAUUGACGGGGGCCCGCACAAGCGGUGGAGCAUGUGGUUUAAUUCGAAGCUACGCGAAGAACCUUACCAGGUCUUGACAUACUAUGCAAAUCUAAGAGAUUAGACGUUCCCUUCGGGGACAUGGAUACAGGUGGUGCAUGGUUGUCGUCAGCUCGUGUCGUGAGAUGUUGGGUUAAGUCCCGCAACGAGCGCAACCCUUAUUAUCAGUUGCCAGCAUUAAGUUGGGCACUCUGGUGAGACUGCCGGUGACAAACCGGAGGAAGGUGGGGAUGACGUCAAAUCAUCAUGCCCCUUAUGACCUGGGCUACACACGUGCUACAAUGGAUGGUACAACGAGUUGCGAACUCGCGAGAGUAAGCUAAUCUCUUAAAGCCAUUCUCAGUUCGGAUUGUAGGCUGCAACUCGCCUACAUGAAGUCGGAAUCGCUAGUAAUCGCGGAUCAGCAUGCCGCGGUGAAUACGUUCCCGGGCCUUGUACACACCGCCCGUCACACCAUGAGAGUUUGUAACACCCAAAGUCGGUGGGGUAACCUUUUAGGAACCAGCCGCCUAAGGUGACAGAUU